GAUGAACGCUGGCGGCGUGCCUAAUACAUGCAAGUCGAGCGAACAGACGAGAGUGCUUGCACUCUCUGACGUUAGCGGCGGACGGGUGAGUAACACGUGGGUAACCUACCUAUAAGACUGGGAUAACUUCGGGAAACCGGAGCUAAUACCGGAUAAUAUUUAGCUUCGCAUGAAGCAAUAGUGAAAGACGGUUCUACUGUCACUUAUAGAUGGACCCGCGGUGUAUUAGCUAGUUGGUGAGGUAACGGCUCACCAAGGCAACGAUACAUAGCCGACCUGAGAGGGUGAUCGGCCACACUGGGACUGAGACACGGCCCAGACUCCUACGGGAGGCAGCAGUAGGGAAUCUUCCGCAAUGGACGAAAGUCUGACGGAGCAAUGCCGCGUGAGUGAAGAAGGUUUUCGGAUCGUAAAACUCUGUUGUAAGGGAAGAACAAGUACGUUAGUAACUGAACGUACCUUGACGGUACCUUACCAGAAAGCCACGGCUAAUUACGUG
rnacentral:rRNA from 1 species